CAAAGAGUGGCGAACGGGUGAGUAACACGUGGGAAACCUACCUCUUAGCAGGGGAUAACAUUUGGAAACAGAUGCUAAUACCGUAUAACAAUAGCAACCGCAUGGUUGCUACUUAAAAGAUGGUUCUGCUAUCACUAAGAGAUGGUCCCGCGGUGCAUUAGUUAGUUGGUGAGGUAAUGGCUCACCAAGACGAUGAUGCAUAGCCGAGUUGAGAGACUGAUCGGCCACAAUGGGACUGAGACACGGCCCAUACUCGGGGCGGGAGGCAGCAGUAGGGAAUCUUCCACAAUGGGCGAAAGCCUGAUGGAGCAACGCCGCGUGUGUGAUGAAGGGUUUCGGCUCGUAAAACACUGUUGUAAGAGAAGAAUGACAUUGAGAGUAACUGUUCAAUGUGUGACGGUAUCUUACCAGAAAGGAACGGCUAAAAUACGUGCCAGCAGCCGCGGUAAUACGUAUGUUCCAAGCGUUAUCCGGAUUUAUUGGGCGUAAAGCGAGCGCAGACGGUUAUUUAAGUCUGAAGUGAAAGCCCUCAGCUCAACUGAGGAAUUGCUUUGGAAACUGGAUGAC
rnacentral:rRNA from 1 species